rnacentral:rRNA from 1 species
GUCCGUAAGUCAUGGGAUUAAGUGGAAACGAUAGUGGGAACGCGAGUCGAGUACAGCCAGGAUGAUUGGCUUAGAAGUACAGCCAUCAUUUAAAGAAAGCGUAAUAGCUCACUGGUCGAGUCGGCCUGCGACGGAAGAUGUAACGGGGCUAAACCAUGCACCGAAGCUGCGGCAGCGACACUAUGUGUUGUUGGGUAGGGGAGCGUUCUGUAAGCCUGCGAAGGUG